AGGGGCAGCAUGGUCUUAGCUUGCUAAGGCCGAUGGCGACCGGCGCACGGGUGAGUAACGCGUAUCCAACCUGCCUUACACUCUUGGACAGCCUUCUGAAAGGGAGAUUAAUACAAGAUGUUAUCAUGAGUAAGCAUUUUCGCAUGAUUAAAGGUAUUCCGGUAAACGAUGGGGAUGCGUUCCAUUAGGUUGUUGGCGGGGUAACGGCCCACCAAGCCUUCGAUGGAUAGGGGUUCUGAGAGGAAGGUCCCCACAUUGGAACUGAGACACGGUCCAAACUCC
rnacentral:rRNA from 1 species